rnacentral:rRNA from 1 species
GAUGAACGCUAGCGGCAGGCCUAACACAUGCAAGUCGAGGGGUAGCAGGAUUAAGCUUGCUUAAUUGCUGACGACCGGCGCACGGGUGCGUAACGCGUAUGCAACCUACCUUAUACUGGGGUAUAGCCCGGAGAAAUUCGGAUUAAUCCCCCAUAGUACUAAUGAAUCGCAUGGUUUAUUAGUUAAAGCAUUGCGGUAUCAGAUGGGCAUGCGUCCUAUUAGCUAGAUGGUGAGGUAACGGCUCACCAUGGCUACGAUAGGUAGGGGGCCUGAGAGGGUGGUCCCCCACACUGGUACUGAGAUACGGACCAGACUCCUACGGGAGGCAGCAGUGAGGAAUAUUGGUCAAUGGGCGCAAGCCUGAACCAGCCAUGCCGCGUGCAGGAAGAAUGCCCUAUGGGCUGUAAACUGCUUUUAUUUGGGAAUAAACCUCUUUACGUGUAGAGAGCUGAAGGUACCAAAUGAAUAAGCACCGGCUAACUCCGUGCCAGCCGCCGCAGUAA